ACCCAAACGACAUUUUGCACUAACAAAAUCUCUCUAUUAUUUAGAGAAAACAUAAUCCUUCAAGGAAACAGGAAAGAAAGGUCGGCAAACCAUAAGAAAAUAUCAGUCCUAUAAUUCAAGCACUUGCCUUUCAUACCAAGAAAUCGCCAAGUUGAAAUAAAACCAACGAAAGCCUCCUUCCAAUCUUCCUGCAACGAAGCUGCCAUAGCAAUUCAAUUUAGCACACACGUUUUUCUCGAGCAGGAUUAUUGAUCAAAUUAGACUGAAGAAUAUCUCCGCUUAAUUUUGGUUCUUGAUCAGCAGAGGUCCCGUGAAUUAGAAAUCGUUUAUCCUUGAAUAUAAAUCGACCUAAUUGAUCAAUAUCACGACCCACUGUGUUGGAAUGGAGUUUGACUACAGGAAAGGAGGAUCAAACAGAGGUCAAAUGGGAGGAGGAGGAGGAGCAGCACCAUAUGAUGUGUCGAGGCCAAUGUACAAACAACCCUAUGGGGUGUCUCCAUAUGCCCAGGCUCCUAAUUCUUAUUACCCCACUGUUGGUCAAAGUUCUGGCCCUCCCAUCAGCAGGCCGCCUCCUCCAGUUCCCGUUUCUUCAUCGACCUCUUCUUUAUCAUCAGGAACAGGCAUCAGAGUUGCAAUAAAACCAGAAUACCGAAUCACGCCUCCGCCGCAACUGUCACCUCAAUUGGGAGAAAUACCUCGAAGCACUUUCCAGUUUGAUUUUGAUUUUGAGAGGAAGAUACUAGCAGAGGCUGAAAAGGGAAGUCAAAACUGGAACAGAAUUGCAUUAGAAAGUCCUUCUCGGCAAAAAAGUGAACCGAAUUCCUUGGGUUCUGUUGAUGAUCAGAUAAUUAAUAAGUAUGUGGCAAUGGGGCUCAAUAGGGAGGCUGUAUCGUUGGCUGUGACAAGUUUUGGUGAUGAUCAAAAUAAGGUUCGGGAAUUUGUUACUUCAUACAGUUUACUGCGGGAGAUGGGCUUCCCUUCACAUACUGUUGCUGGGGUGUUAGCCAUGUAUGAUAAUGACAGAGAUAAAGCACUGGCACAUUUUCUAAGCAAUCCAUCAUAGGACUAUGGGAAGUCUUUCAACUUUGUUAAUAUACAAGUGAUAUACAAUUAUUUGGUUUAUCUAUGUUAUAAUUUCUUUGGCUUCCAAAUGAGCUGUGCAGCUAUUCAUCUCAAUAUAAAGAUAUAGAUUACAUUCCAGGUUUCCUUUCCUUAGGAAAUUCCGAGUUAUAUGAUGUGUUAACUUGGUAAUGAUUCAAUUGUUUAUAUCCGUUCACUUCUAUCUAAAUUUCUUUGUAAACUUAUUGAAGGUACAUUUUUCCUUAACUUGACAAUUUAGCUUAACAACUUAGUUACAAUUUUGCUCAGAUAUUCAUCUUCAUAUGAUAAGCAGUAAGCAAAUGAUAUGGGCUUACAGAAAAUUACCGACUUUGUAAAUGAAAGUAUUUCUUAUAAUAUUACUCAUUAUAGCUUAAUUCC